rnacentral:lncRNA from 1 species
AAAUAAUACAUCUGCUUAUGGCUUUUUUUUUUUUAAGUAGUAUGGAUAUCUUGGUAGAACCCUGGAAGUUCCAUUUAGAUGACAAAAUCAUGUAAUGAAUUAAAUUUCAUGUACUUUACUUUAGCUAACAAAUCAAAGGGGUUCUACAGAUUUUGUGUAGUAUGAGCAAACAAACAAACAAACAAAAAACAGAAAUAGACCCACAAAUUCAGAGAACAAAUUAAUGGUUGCCAGAGGGGAGGAGAGUAGGAAGAUGGGCAAAGUGCUUGAAGGGGACAGGGAAGGGUAGGCUUCCAGUUACGAUGUGAAUAAGGGUAAAAGAUAAAAGAUACAGCACAGGGAAUAUAGUCAAUGGUAGUGUAGAAGCAUCGUUUGGUGACAGAUGGUAGCUACACUUGUGAUGAGCGCAGUGUAACGUAUAGCCUUGUCCAAAUACUAUGUCGUACACCCAAAACCAAUGUAACAUUGUGUGUCAACUAUACUUCAGUAAAAAACAAAACAAAACAAAUAACAGGUAAAUGCAGCCGCUUCCCCUUUUUCCACCAUUCUAGGUCCACCUUUUUGGAUCAUUUAUACGAUGAAUCUAAGGCCCAGGGAAGUUAAGAGUUUAUAAAAGGUAGCUGAUAAGAGGAUCUAUCUUAUCGGGCUAUUGAGAAUAACAAAUUAAAGACUCACACAAAGUACUUAGCACAGUGCAUGACACUGAUUAGUAAUGCAAACUCUUUCAGCUGUUAUUAAUCUGAAAACUAAAACCACAGAACCUUAAUUCAGCUUCUUAGGCCUCUACCUCCCCUGUCAUAUCCACAUCCACCCCGGGCUCCCCCACUCUGCCUUCUUUGGUCAAGUGCCUGACAUUUUUAUGGAGACAUGGCAGCUCUAUUUUGGAAUGUGAUACUUGCAUGGCUUGCGUCCAAGCUCUUGUCCACCAGUGGCCCCCUUCGCAGUUGUGCUUGGUCUUACUUUUAUGCUUGGUCUGGGAGUGAUGACUCUUCUCUAGCUCAUUUUGACCAUCCCAUGGUGAGGAUACCUCCUCCUGGGACUCUCUCCCAGGGUCAAUGCUCUUGUUUCCGGGCACUUACUUCCUUCUUGCACGAUGCCGACCCUGCAUUUGCCUCAGACUCAGCCACCCGAAAUCUUCUUGUUCCUUCAACUGAAUUUUUGACAGAAACUUGCAUUUCAAAAACUGGUUUCAUUACCAUAGCACUAUGGCUCUUGUCAGGACCUGAUGUGAAACCAUCUAGCUUGACUAAGUAGUUACUAAUCUGUUUGGUUUCCAUUUAAACUUCCUUUUCCCCCACCAUGUGCUCAUUACUGUGGUUUAUAUUCAGCUUCUGAUGAUAGCUAACCAUUUUUGUGAAGCCUAGAGCAUAAUAGGUAUUAAAAGCUCAAGCCUUCUGAUGCAUCUGCUAUUUGUUUUCCCUCCCUACUAAUUAGCGGGUCUACAUUCUCCUUUGUCUUGUUCCUAAUGUAUUUGUGAAAUAUUGUCUGGCUGCCCGUUGUUUCUCUUGCUAGUUGCAUCUCACAUUGUGCUUUGGCUUUCCGGCUGCUGUUCCCAUAUUAUACAUGCCCUAUUCUCUUACCCUUGCCUUUAGCAGCGUGCCCUCAUUUUCCCUUUGCAUGUCAUUUUAUCCUGGCAGCUUAAAACUCAGCGUGGGUUUUGCUUUCCAUAGAAUCACUAGCUGGGUGAAAGCUUGAGGACAAGCUCUUAAGCACUGGAGAAUAGAAAUAUUUGGCUCUACAGUAUCUAGUGCUUAGCACAAAAUGUAAAAUAUUCCAGUAUGUUCUAGAAAGUUGACCUAUGCGAACCCAGCAGGCUGGACAGUUAGCCAUGGUGUUAGGUCAAGAUCUAGAUACUCUAAGGUAGCCUUUGUCGAUGGUAGUGAAAAUUGGACAAGGCAUCAGGUAGGAAAGGGGCUUUCAUACCAAUUCCUCUUGUCCUCUUCUGCUCCCAUGAGCACUGGUAGAAAUUUCAGAUUUCUCUAUAGGUCAUUAGAUAAAUGCUUAUGAAUUGUUGAGGGCCAUCUAAUGUUGUCAUGCCAUUUUUGAAAUGUGAAGCAGGCUCACAUUUUUUGUCCCUUACCUGGCUCAAUGCACUGAAAGAUUUAAUAGACCCAACUGUGAAGCAAAAAGUAGGACAAUGAAGUCAAGAACCGUGGCAUGGACUUCCUCAGCUGGUAAUAAGUUGGCAGGCCCGCAAGGACAGCCGUGACCCCUCUUCUGCUUAACCUUCUGACAUUCAGUCAGUGGCCAGAGGGUCUGGGCUCAUCUAGAUAGAAGCAGUCCUUACCUUCCAUAGGCUGUGAAGAUCGCUUCCAGCAUCUGGAGGAACCAGGGCAGCAACUCACGCACGUCUCAUGGGCAGAUCCCAGUAUCUGUUGGUUGCACGGUAAACACAAGGGAAAGCAACCUAGCCGUCCAACUCAAGAUCCUCACUAGUCUUUGAAGCUGGGAUGGACCUUGUGGUCUGGCCUAGCUCAGCAUCUGGGAGGUGUUUGUAAACAGAACAACCUGAAAUUGUUCACCGACAAGAAAGCUUUCUUGGGGAGAAUGGGAUCUGGCAGGAGCACUGUGAGCAUUUCUUUCAUUUUUAGCACUCUGCUUUCAUGGGCUACAUCUGUCAGGACCAUUUUCCUUUCCUUUUUCUACCACUAGGAAGUUGAAUUAGCUGUUGACUUGUGAAGUUCCAAAGCUUCUCUAAUGUUGUACCGUAACACAAAUUGUCAAAAGUAAUGGCGUGGGUCAUUUCAUUUAUUAAAAUUCUGAUCCAUCCACUGAUGAUCUGAAUUCUUUUUUUUUGAUUUAGCCUAACAUCAGGCUAUAUUAAUUUGCUUAGAAGAUUUAUCCAAGAUAUUCAUACAUCCCUAUGUUAAUAGGCCUUCCGAAGCCCGACCCUUUAAAAGACAAUUGUUUCCAGAGACGAAUAGAGGCUGCGCUUCAUAAACACAUGGAACCUGCCCACAAAAUAGCCAAAUAGUUUAGUGUUUUGCUAAAUUCUGCUCUGGCUUGCUGCAUGGCCUAUCUCGCCAAAAAUCAAUGCUAGGCUGUCCUCAGAUUGGUAUUCAUGUUCAGCCUCAGAUCAUCCUAGUUAAUGUUACUUUGUUUUAUGAUUAAAUUCCUAGAAUUCUGCUUAUUUUUCUUAAAACUUGGUUCUUAUUCAUCCCCUUUCUGACUCUUUUUGGAUUGAACUUCUGACAAGUUUUUGGCCACUUGGAAAGCUCUGUUGGGCUCACCUCAGGUGCCCAGCUCCCAGCAUUAUGCCUUCCCAUCCCCAUGGAGAAAUUUAUAUCCUUCAGAGAUGGCCCCUCAGCCAACCUGUCCUCUCCUGCACCUUUGGAGCUUGGGUCACCAAUAGGAUGGUCCUUAAAAAAGGCUACCUCUGCGAAUGGAGCUGUUUGUCUCUCAUAAUUUGUGAUAUGCUGCAUCUAUUCUGAUGUCCACCAGAUAAAAGUACAUGCCAACACUGGGUGCAAACAUUGCACCUUAUCAGAUUCUGUGCAUCGUUACCUACUAUUAAGAAUUUUACUGGACUUUAGUUAAUAAUUUGCAACCCAAGAUAAUAAGACAAAUUCCUACUGUUGUGGUGUUUGGAAUUAUGAAAUCAUUAUACCGGGGCACCUGGGCAACUCAGUGGUUGAGCAUCUCCCUUUGGCUCAGGGCAUGAUCCCGGGGUCCUGGGAUCGAGUCCCACAUCAGGCUCCCCACAGGGAGCCUGCUUCUCCUUCUGACUGAGUCUCUGUCUCUCUCUCUCUCUCUCUGUGUCUCUUAUGAAUAAAUAAAAUCUUUAAAAAAAUCAUUAUACUAAAAGAGCCCAUAGACAUUCUCUAGUACAAUCCUUUCUCGAUAUCUAUGAGGAGCCCAGAGCCCAGAGCAGUUCCAUAACUUCUCUGAGGUCACACAGCAGCAGACUAAGACAUGAAAAUAUAAUCUCCUGCCUUUUAUUGUAUUUUUUUUUCUUUAUCACACUUUCAGUUUCGGUCUGAUAUAAAUAAUGCACAUACAUGUUGGUGAGAAAGCACACUUUUUGUCUUAGGGCCAUUCUAAGAAUAGCACUGAGCCCAGGAAAAUAAUCAUAGUCUGACAACUGCUCACAACAGCUCCCACUAGAGAGAAAGACAAGGCUCCAAACACGAGGAGGGGCAUCAGCUGUGGGGUGCUGGGAGAAGCUGGGCUGGGCGCUAUCGAGGGGCCCCCUGUCUAGUGGUGACAUGAAGCAGAUAGACAGCAAGUGUGACUGGGCUGUCUGCAGAGCUGGGGUGGGUGAAGGGGUUUCGAGGUGGUUAGUGGGUUGUUAUGACACGGUUUGUCACCUCUUGGACAGAAAUGAAAUGCAGCCGCGCCAGUGAGGCCAUUGUCCUUAUGUGAGAGACUGGCCCACCCCAGGUGCAGGCGGCUGCAAGGCCGGAAAGGGAAAUGCCAUUUUAUAAAGGAUUUUCUAGCACAUUAACUGCAUAAUUCCUCAGCAGGAUCGUGAGCUCGGUGCAAAGUGCAGCCUUCUCCCCCAUAAUUGCCAUGGUGGGAUUGCUUGCGGAAAGCCUUCAAAGCCCUUGCGAGAGGCACGGCCCAUCUCAGCACCCAGUGAGACGACGCCCUCGCGGCUCCUCUCUUCACCUUUCUUUUUAAGGCUGCCAAUCAAAAUCGUUUCCCAAAACUGGGCUAAUUUCACGAGACAAUCUGGCAUUAGCCCUUGCUGAUGUCUUCAAUGCACUUGACUAAGGGAUCCAGGCUUCAAAUGUCGAAUACGGGCUCUGAGUGUCAGCCCACACUCCAGGAGAGAGUCACAUGUCAAAAUAUAUUUCUUAUUAUGGGAGCCGAGCUGACCAAGGUCAGGAUUAUGAAGGUUUGACAGCCUUCCCAUUUUUCUUACUACGAUGCUUGCCUUUCCUCCUUCCCGGCCAGAAUUCUCAUACCAGGAAGGAAAAAAAAAAAAAAAAAAAAAAAAA